rnacentral:rRNA from 1 species
UACGUAGGGGGCUAGCGUUGUCCGGAAUCAUUGGGCGUAAAGCGCGUGUAGGCGGUCCGGUAAGUCCGCUGUGAAAGUCGGGGGCUCAACCCUCGAAUGCCGGUGGAUACUAUCGGGCUAGAGUGCGGAAGAGGCGAGUGGAAUUCCUGGUGUAGCGGUGAAAUGCGCAGAUAUCAGGAGGAACACCUAUUGCGAAGGCAGCUCGCUGGGACGUAACUGACGCUGAGACGCGAAAGCGUGGGGAGCAAACAGG